rnacentral:rRNA from 1 species
CGUGUAGGCGGCGAUUUAAGUCUGGAGUGAAAGUCCUGCUUUUAAGGUGGGAAUUGCUUUGGAUACUGGAUGGCUAGAGUGCAGGAGAGGUUAGUGGAAUUCCCAGUGUAGCGGUGAAAUGCGUAGAUAUUGGGAAGAACACCAGUGGCGAAGGCGGCUUUCUGGACUGUAACUGACGCUGAGGCUCGAAAGCUGGGUAGCAACG